AGCGGUAGCUCCUCAUUUUAUGAACACACCUUUCUCUUUCAUGCUCAAAUGUUAUUUGACAUCCCUGUGAGACUACAGGCACGCAUGCUGUACCACACGUGCUUGGGUUGUUGCUGGGUCAGAUCUCAAGGGAUGCAUGUCCUCUGGUUCAUACUAACUUGGAACAUCUGAAUGCAUGUAUAUUCUUGGAAACCUGUUUUACCACAAACAUUUGAACCUGAAAUGCCAGAUUCAUAACCCAACAAACUGAUUUGUUGUCGACUACUGUGCUCACACUGGUUCAGAUGCUGUGCUUCUCCUGUGAGAAACCUGUGCAAGUUUCCAGAGUGUAAGAGAUUACUGCUGCUCAGGGAGCAACAUCACAGACGCAGUAGAGAUAAGUGGAUUUGUGCCUUAAUGAUUCCCUUUACUCCAUACUCUUCUCCUUUAAGCAAAUGAAAUCUGUAUAAGAAAUGACUCUAUGUAAAGUUAAAGUGGGGGAAGAAAGGGUUGAAAUAAUAUUCAGAAAGCCAUUCUAAGCUAGGUGCGAGCCUGGAAGUGAUGUCACUAAAUAAUAUGUAAAUUCUCUGAAUUUUUACAUCCUUUCCAAAAGAACUCUUCUCCCCAGAAAAUUCCCUUCAUUGCUUGCUUUAGUUAGGUUUACAGUGAAUGUUUGUGUCAUAAGUCAUACUCUGUUGACCAAAGGAACGGUUGCUAUUGACUGCAGUCAGAAGAGAUUGAAACUUUGGUUCCUUUUGAAAGAAAAGGAAUUGUUACUGUGCAGCAAAGCUGAUCAGCUGGGUGAAAGGGACAUUUUCUACAACUGACAGGAGGCAACCAGAGGUGAAUGUCAGGGAGCCUGAAUCUGGGGAGCAGGGCAGCCACCAAGUCUUGACAUCUCAGCAUCUGCUCCUAUUUGGUAGACUCCUGUAUUUACUGCUGCAGCACUGACUUUGCUUGUUAGGACUACAACUGCUGGUUCAGGGGUCUGCAACACCAGCAUGUUGGAAGAGGUAGGACUGUUUACAGACUUAGUAUUAGGUGUACAUUUAAACAAUUCACUAAUUCAAGCUUCUCAUCCCAGUUUUCUUCCUGAGAAAAAAUACUACUUUUGUCUAUAGCAUGCAAUCAGAUCUGCAUUUAAUCUCACAUUGGCUGAUGUGUACUACCCCCCAGCAUGUAAAGGAAAUGCUUACAUACAAAUAACUACCUUUAUUUUAGGGAUGUGACUUGCUUCACUAAUUCCCCAGGAUAUUUAUUUAUAAAAAAUUACUUUCAGAGCCUUUUAGUGCAUUGACCUUGUUUCAGGGUUUAGAUGGGAAGAGGGAGGGCUGGAGUUUUUUCUUAAACGCUGCAGGGGAUUUCUGUCAGGUUGCUUUAACACUUCGUCUCAGAUUCUUGCCAGGCUUUUGGGCUAAAGAAUUUUCAAAUGCAGCUAGCCGUCAUCACAUAGCUCUUGCGUUUGUACAGCAGUAUCUGCAGAAGCCUAUCAAAUAUGGGCUAAUGCUGAGAUGUCAAGGCCUUGGUGGCUGCUCUUUGUUUUAUAAAUAUAAAAUUGAUUUGGCUUUCAUGCGAUGAGAAAGCAAGAGGACUUAAGAAUAGAGGCACCAGAUAAGCAUCAUAAAUGCGUACAUCACUUUUAGUGUAUCAGGUGUGGAUGUUGUAGUGACCACUCUAUGGACUGAGUCUGUGCAUUAUAGCAGUUUCCUAUGCAAAGAUGCGGAAUGUUGUUAUUCCCCUAAAGAGCAGGAGAGCAGAGAAAGGGAUGUGCUGUGCUGCUGAAUUUUCCUUUCAAAAACCUAAGGGUUUCAUAGCAAUAGGUCACCACAUUUAGAAUCACUAAAACACUCAUGCUGUAAAAACACAGAACUCGUAGUCUUCUUUACCCCACUGAGGGUUAGCACUGCAAGGGCUGUUAACGAUUCCUUUAGCUUUCUCUUACUGAGUGUUUUCACAUAUAUAUCUACGGAAAAUGAAACAUGAUAUAACAUGCAUGGAAAAUAGAAGCAUGUACUACCCAAACCUCAUUCUCCAACUAAAGUAUCUAUUGUUUAAUAACAGAAGGUACGUAGGGAUUUUUUGGGUGGAUUACUGAGUUGAAGUGUAUUUCGUGCCCCCAAAAUAACAGCUUACAUGCAGACCAUAGGUGUCCAACCUUUUGGCUUAUCUACGCCUUACUGAGCCCAAGAGGAAUCAUCUUGGGCUGCAUAUAAAAUAAAAUAUGUAACAAAAAUUAUUUUUAUUAUUUUUUUUAGUAAAACAUUUUAAAAGGGAAACAAACACACAAGACUAGUGGGUUGGACACAUGAUCUAGGCCAUGAGAAGGUCCCACAUAUCUCUGGGCAGCAACUUUGGAUUAAAGGAACUCUAUUGAAAUGGCAAAUUCCUACUAUUUCUCACAGUAGAGCAGGUAGAACUGUUAUUCUCUCCUGUUACUUCCUGAUGUUUGAACUCAGUCCCUCAUUCCUCUACCAUUGCUUCUCGGUGUCACCCAGGGCUAUACAUAUGGCAACUGCACACACAGUCCUACUUGCAGAUGGGGCUUAGGCUAAAUGCUAGGCUUUGUGGCAUUUCUGUGCUAAUCUCUGAAGGCUUUUGGAUACACCCCUGAGGCAGUGCACUUCUAGAACCCCUGCUUGGCCAAACAGAAGUUCGGCUUCCCUGGGGUUAAAUCCCAAGAAGAUUUCAGUGGUAGUUAAGUUGGAUGUAGGCAGGUGGAAGUGUACAGCACUGCAAAAUGUAACUCCAUUGCCUCUUGGUUUUACUAAUGCCUCAAAGGAGGGCUGGCUCAUUCUAAGUGCAGUGCAAUAUCUAAGUAGAAAAAGAGAUGUUUGGAAAAAUCAUUCAUUAUAUUUUUCAGAAUAAAGCAAUCACAUCUUCCUUAGCAGAGAAUGCAAAGAAAGCUGUAAAUAUCACAGCUGCUCACUGGCAACUAGGAAAAAAAAAGAGUCAAAUUCAAAGCUUGCCACUUCUAUUCACAGUGAAUGACUUAGGAGUCAAAAGAAGAACAGGGUGUGUACAGUCUGAAGAGAAUAUUGCUGGUAAAAUUCUAAGGAUGCCUCCUAAAACUGGCAAUUGCUCACCAUGUCAGCUGGAAUAAAGUUUGUCACAUUGUAUGUCCAGAUGCAAUAUGGUGAUAUAUGCAAUUUCAGUCACUCUUUCCAAAUUGUGGGCUUUAUCUGAAAUGCUCUCAUACCCCAAACUGUCUGCAUUUUCAUUAAAAGAAUGAAUGUUCCUGUCAUCAUCUUGGUAGGAACGCCAACAGGAAAUAAGCUACCUCUAAAUGAAAAGAUGCAUUUUAUUGUUUGCGAAGCUGGGGAAAUAUGAGUCAAACUUACAACUUGGCUGGCAGGUGGUUUGUUUGGAGUAUGGAAUUAGUGCCUUUGUAGGGGUCUGACAAAUAGCCUGGGGUCUCAGACAAUGCACUGGCAUCCUGGUGGCUGCAUGAUCUUACAGAGAGCAUUAACUUCCCUGUGCCUCAGUUUCUUCAUCAGUAAAACUGUGAUAAUCAUUUUCUGCUGGAGUUUCCAGCUAAUAGGCUUGUUAUGCCCUGCAAAGCACUCAGAGAUCUCCAUCUGGAACAAACUACAGAAGUGCAAGUAUUAUUGCUAUUAGAAGUCCAUUACAGCUCUGUUUUGCUUUGUUCGUACUGGCCCUUUGGUACGUGCAGCUAGACAGCUCCUAAUGUUAUCUUGAUGCACAAAGCACUUUUUGUGUGAGGUUUGACUCACACUAAAAUGCCAGUUAGAAUUUUGUCCUCGGGAACUCACUGGAGCUUGGCUUACAGAAUCUGAAAAUUAAAUCAACCAAAAUAGGUCAAACACAAAACUAUAUGUCCUUAUGUGUCCUCUUGUCCUCUUUAGCAGUAUAGCGCAUAGUUGUUGUUUUCUUAUCUGUAAAGUUUGGGCCUGUUUUGUUCCUCAGCCAGCUUUGCUACUGAUAUCUUGGUUACAUUUUGAAUACCUGCUCUUGAGAAUUUUCUGUUCCCAUUAAAUAUAGUUUAGAAGGACACGCUCAUCUGUUAGUGGUCCAGAAAUAACGUGCUGAAUGCACCAGCAGCUGAUGCGACUGAACGCGAUACAAAAGUGUAUCAUUCUGUUAGAGUUUGUUGGUAGGCAUCAUUAUGGAAAUGUUUUUGAGCCUUAAAAAAGGGAAUAGUGUAUCGGAAAUUGAAUCAAACGUUAACAGAAGCUGCAGUUUGUGGUUUACUUUUCCCUCGUAGCUAGUUCUUUAGGAAUUAUUCCUGUUCACAUAAUCCUUUAAGUUAAUGUAUUUAUUCCGUGCGUGCUUUAUAAUUUCUAUUCAUUCAUAUGUCAAGUAGCUGAAGGUGCUGCUUCAAUUAGUAUUUACUUCAGUGUUAUACUGUUUUGAAUUGGUUGUUUGUUACAGUCACAAUGCAGUGAAUAAACGUGUUAAUAUUUGAAGUGGGAAGGGAGGUAAAAUGGGAAACCGUCUGCUCCAGUCGCGGCCCAGCUUUCUGGUUACAACAUAUUAUAAUUUAUUUAAACCCAAUCAAUACUUAAUCUGGAGUUUAAAUUCCGCUAAAGAUCUGUGGCAUAGCUAAAAGCAGCUGAUGCCAAAGAAAAAAAAUUUCUUCAGGCUGUGAUUCUGAUGAAUUUAUAAUGCGCUCUAAGGGUGAUGCAUUGACCUAAAUUCACAGAAGCGCCGCAAUUCGUAUUUAUUAUUGUGAAAGGUGUCCUACCAACACUUUUCUUCUUCUGAAUGUUGAGAGCCUGUGUGAGAAAGAUGGGCGGCUGCAGAGGAAGGAGCUGCACGCACAGCCCGGGAGGGUGGGAUGGGACUGAGCGCGGCCCUGUGCCGCACACCGGGCGGUGAGUCACUGUGACCCCGAGAUUCAAGGCAGGAAUUAAUUCAGCACUGCAAAAAUCUGGCAAAUGUUUGAAGCCAGCAGUGAAAGCAGACUUCCUGAGAGGUGUGUGUUUGUGGUGACAAUUUGGAUUUAUUUUUCUGGCAAUGCAAAAGACAUUGUUACGGCAGGAAGAAGACAGUUGUGUUAAAAACUGCUUCUCUUUUUUAGUUCUCCCCCCCCCCCAGCCUUUCUGGGGAAAUAGAUUUUGAUCUCUGCGGCAUUUGGUUUUCUCUGUACAGCUCUUUAAACUCCCCCAGGCACAGCCAUCUCAGGGCAGGCCCCAUGGGCAGCUCCUACCAGCACUGCAGGGAUGUGCACACACCAUUCUCUUGUAAGGUCUGGGCAACCUCAUAUUUCCCAGCACAUUUUGGCAAGCUUUUACUCAGAGUGGUCCAACAGCUUUUCAUAGUAAGUGAAUGACUUCCCAGUGACCUGAGCCCUCUUCCAAGCCUCCUUUGUCACCCUGACAGCUUGCAGUCAUGCUUUUCUGAUCUUGUGCAAAGCUAUAUGUUUUACCAGAUCUGUAACUGCAGGAGACUUGGUUGUUCUGAAAAUUAACUGGAUGAAUAAGGGAAAUGUAUAGUGGAUAAAGGCUGACAAUCAUCCCCACUUCUUUUAUGAUACAAUGCCCUGUCCUCACGAGAAGGGAGAAGAGCUCAAUUCUCCCUCCUAAUUGAUAGGUGCAUACUUGUCAGAUGUGGUUUCCCCAGGCAGUCUGUAAGGCAGGACUCACCCCCCCCACACACCGUUCAUCCCCAGUCCCUCACCUGUGUGCUUCUGGGGCAUCACAUCAGACACUCUCCCAGCAUGUGUCUUCUUGCUCUAUUUUGUGCCCGCCUCUGCCCAUAUUGCUGCUGUAGUGGUUUAUGCCAGAAUAAAUAUGGGCUAGCAUAAAUCCUCAGGCUUGGAAGGCAUUAGCCUGCCUUUACUGUAGCACAAUCGACAGCUGUACCUGGCACCACGACCUCAUUGCACCCCAGCGUGGCAGCAUCCAGAGCCUUGAUGCAUUGGAGGAGCAGAGCCACAUGCUUGCUGAGGUUUGUUCCUCUGGGCUGGCCCUGAGGAUGAGAACAGCAUGCAAACACAGCUUCUCAGCAGGAGCAACUAUUAGUUUCAGCUUUAACCUUUACUUAAAAAUAUGAAGCUGCUGAGCAAAAAUGCAAAGGCUUAGUGUUCAAACUCACGCCUAACUCAGAGAGCUGGGUUCCUAGAACCAACUGUGAAUUUCAGUUUAGCAGCAAGGAAGUUUAUGUUCAACUUCAGUUUUUCUUCCAGCUAUAAUGCUCAAAGGGAGUACUUCAGUAUCUGUCUUGCUUUUUGUUAGGGAGAUGAAACAAAACAAAACACCAUUUGUCAUAAUUCUUUGGGAUUGCUAUUAUGGCCAGGAGAAAAGCGGGCUUCUGCUAGUUCAUGUACGAGUCAAAAGAAAGGCAUAUUCCUUUCCCCACAGGAUCCCAAGCGGAAGAGUUGGUGGAUGGGUAAGAUAAAAAUGGGUAUAGAUUGUGAGAGACAGGCUGACAAAAAAAAGUGCGUGCAGUUUUUUCACUAUUCUAGAGCAGUAAUUGUACUUUGCUUACAUACCUAAGCAUGUUUAGGUGGCAAUUUUCUUUCCUUGUAACAGAAGAGGUGACUUUCAAGAGAAUAAUCUGAAGGAGGUUGUGGUGGAUGACUGUUUUCCUUGUUGUUGGUUUUUUUUGUUUGUUUGUUUUGUUUUGUUUCUUUAAAUUCAGAAUGUUUUUUACCAGGUCAACAGGCCAAUUUCUCUCCAUUGUUCACAAAGCUAUUGGGUAUUUUUUUUUCCUUCCCACUGUGCCUUGAAAAAACAACUUCACUUAAGUUCAUGUGUGAAACCUUUUGCACAACAGAAGUGGUUUCUUGUGGCCAGUAAGACUAAAUGUUCUGAGCAUUCCAGGAAGCAUAUAAAUAGACUGAUACUCUUCCUAAGGUUAUAGAGCAUUAUUUCUCCCUUUUUUUCUUUAUUUCUCCUCCUGUCCUACUCCCCUACCUUCAGCUACGCUCUCUCCAUCUAGGCAAAGACCAAACAAAGUGCAGUGUUUGAAAAUCCUGACCAUCAUUUUCCAUUUUACUUGGGUUUUUCUCAGUUACAUGUUCUGAAUAGAAAUUGUUCGAGUAAAUGCAGCACAGUAAAUUAUCUUAAAUUACUUCUUAUAGUCCAGACUAGUAUUAUAACAUGAAAAUUGUUACUUGGAGUCUCCCACGCCCCUGGCUGCUGCAGACCUGUGUCUCCAGGCUGGGGAGAAAUGGAUCACAGUACUUAUCCAGCAGAGCCUGCAGGCCAAUCCACAAUGUGGAAAGUGGAGUUCACAUAAAGGAGGUCUCUUAUCCUUUCCUCUCAAUCCUGCUAGAUACAGCAAAGCUGUCACAAUGGUCAAAUAUAAUUAAAAUGGUGAUCUGCCACUGAAGGGUAGGCCAAUGUCUAUGCAGAAACCAGAUGAGGAAUUAUUCAAGCCAAAAACAUUAAAUCUCAGCUCAUCCGUGGUUACCAUAAAACAGCCAUCCUGUUCCUUUGAUCUAUGAUGAAUUUGAAUGUGUGUUAAUAAGACAUAUAUGCUGGGCAUCAACAUCAUCUUCUGUUGAACGAAGGUAAACACUGCAUUCGUCUCUGUAAAAUAUACUUCAGUAGUUGGGAAGAAAGUGGAGAUUCAUUAUUUUUGCAGUUGUAGAAGACAUUUAGCAGCUGUGUUUAUACUGGCAGACAAUUUGGAUAUUAGGUGGCAGGACAGAGAACUGCAGAUGCACGAUAUCGUGCAGACAUUGUGCACUUACAGCACAUUUCCAGGGAAACAUGUUAUUUUAUAUUUCCCUUGGUGUCAUUAAUCACGUUUCAUGAUGUAUCUCACUAUUUCAACUCAUUCCCCUAGAUUCAUUCAUUUUUUUGGCCUGUUUAUUUAAUAGUUAUUGAGCUCCAUUUCAACAAAUUCCAUCUUAACCACAGAUAAUAAAGUUCCUUUUGCUUCAGGGGAGAAAAUUAAGAUGGCCCUGUACUGAUUUCAGGGACUACCUGUAAUAGUCAGCAUGUCUGCUGCAUCAGAAAGAUACUUUGUUUGCCUUUGGUCAGAAAAAUGUUCAUGCUGUUCUUUGCAACUUAAAAAUUAAACUCAUUUCCUGAAAGUAAAAAUAUGAUUCUUAUCUUGAACUAUAAAGGAAAACAGCUGCACUUUAUUCUGUUCUCGAAGUUCUCUAAUCUCUCUGGAGGCUUUGUUUUGGUUUCACAGGUGAAUCCCUUAAACUGCAGCAGCAAUGAUGGCUCCUCCUUGGCAGAAACAUGCUGAGAAGCAGUUGGGAAUCCCCUGCUCUGGAGCUGCAGCCUGAGGAACCUCAGCGUGUAAGAAGCGUCUCUGAGGCACUCACAUGGUGAUGGUUAUACAUCUCCUGCUUACCCCAACUUAGUGAAAGCUGUCUUCAAGCAAAUAAGACUGGCAGCAAGGCUGGGAGUGCAAUCACCUGCUGGCAUAAUCCCUGGACUCUUCUUAAAGGAAUUCUAAAAAGGGAAACUCAGGAAUGCCUACCUGACUGUCCAGAGAACUGCCAUCCAGAGGAGCAUCCUACAGCAGCACAAGCAUUUCAUCUUCUGGAUUUGUGGAGACAUGUGGGAUUUGUUCAUGCUGAAGGCAGGAGGAAGUCAAGGGAGAAAAAAAGAAUUCUGGGAGAUUUUAAAAACAAAAAUGAUUCUCACUAGGAAACUUGGUAAAACCGAAGAUCCAAAGUGAAACAUCAGGAAACAUCACCAAAAUGAAGCCCGUUGGAUGUUUGCAGCUGUUUCUUUAGUCCUGAUUAACAGGGAUUUUCUGAGAAGAGCUGCACAAGUGCAGUCCCCAUUCAACGUACAGAUUUUCCAGAGUGAUCUCCAAGUUGUAAUGGACAACCUCUUUCCUGCCAGCAGAGCCCAGAGAGGAAUAAACCAAGACCACCAGCUAAGUCAUUGUGUAAUGUGCUGUGGAUAUGAGCAUCGAAUGCCCUCAGUGGCAAUGACUCAGGACCAAAUCAUCCUUUUGCGGGAAUUACCUACGAAGGAAACUGGACGCUCCAUGGCAUCUGUGUCAUCCUUCCCUCCAGAUGGUGCCUCAAAAUCUGUUCUGAAAUGGCAUGUGCAAAGCAGACCCAGAGUGCCUAUCAUUCAGCCCUCUGAUGGCAACUCUCAGACAACUCGGGGACAGACAGAACACAAAACCAGAAAUAAGGACUUGCAACCGUGGCUGAAGAUGCCCAGAGAGUCGUGUAUGUAACAGCCAGCGAGAGGCAGAUGACAGCAACAAGAAAUUUCACAGCUCCAAAGAGUGAACGUACCACGGAUUAGUACCGGAGACAGAAAUACUUCUAUGAAAACCAUGAAGGAAGUUCCGGAAUCUAGAGUAACUCUCGGAUGCACAGAACUGGAGACUUAAAAGAUCCUCAGUUCCCCCAGGACCUGAGCAUGUAGAAACGUGGGGGCCUGGCUGUCCUUCUGGUCUGCACGCGUGGCCUCAAGCCCGAAUCCCUACAACAGCAUCUCCACUGACAGCAAAGUGCUUCUUCGCCCUUUACCACUGAACUGCUGUGGCUUGAUUGUGUGAAACUGAGUUUCAGGAUGCAAGAUACUGUUCAGAUAGUUCUGCAAUACAUUCUUCAGACCCAGCAACUUUGGCAGGCCCGUGGAUGAUGGAAUAACCAGAUCUCUGCGGCCACCCCUGAAAAACAGAUUCUUUCUUCUGGAUUCCCUGGGAUUCUCUCAGCAGCCAGCCUUGUUUACAGAAGUCAGCGCGGACAGUAACAGCCCUUCACCAAUGAGCCACAGUGGAACCUUUGGGGAAGGCUCCUCACGGUGCUCUGUCAUCUGCUGACAAAGUGGUGCCAGGACCAGAACUUCACAAUGAACUCUGCAGAGAAAAAUCCACAGCAGAUGAAGGAAUCUCGAAGUCAGUGACAGGUAGACUCAGGCUUAAAGUGAGAGGAUCCCCCACGUCACUGGUUUCAACUAGAGGAUACGUCUGUGCUAUGAGAAUACUCAGUAUGAGAAACGUGCUGCGAAACAGAGGCAGCCAGUUGGAGCAGUGCUUCAGACUAAGCUGAGGUCAGUUUUAGAAUCACAGAAUACUUCAGGCUGGACAGGAACUCUUGAUGUCACCUCAAUCCACGCCCUGCUCAAAGAAGGUCUCACUACGUCAGAUCGCUCAAGGCUGCAGCCAGUCAAGUUGAACCCUCAAAUGGGGAGCCUCUGCUGAAUGCUGGUUACUGCAAGGUACUGGUUAAACGAAUUCAUAUGCAAAAAUAUUCUUACUUUUUUCUGGAUACAGUUUGAAAUGCUCCACUUUCAGAGUUCAUUAACUUUCUUGGUUGUGUAUGUACUGUCCAAAAAUCAUAUCUAAGAAGAUUGUUGUUUGGUGAUGGGAGGUACAUUUAGGCUUGUAUGAGUCUACAGUGAUAAUAAUCAUCUAACUAGCUUAGAUUGCAAAAGUUAAUCUAGUAAAAUAUUGGGUGAUGUUGUGACUGGCUGGAUAGAUGAGAGGAGAGCAGUGAAUGUUGUCUACCUUGACUUCAGUGAGGCUUUUGACACUAUCUCCCAUAACAUCCUCAUGGUUGAAGUUAGGAGUUGUGGAACAGAUGACUGGACAGUAAGGCGGACUGAGAACUGGCUGAUGGCACAGCACAGAGGGUUAGGAUCAGCAGCGCAGUCCUAGUUGGUGUUUUCACAGGAUCGGUACUGAGUCCAGUCUUGUUGAACAUCUUCAUCAGUAAACUGGAUGAAUGCAUGGACAGCAUCCUCAGCAAGUUGUGUGAUGAUACAAAUCUGGGAGUGGCUGACACACCAGACGGUUGUGCUGUCGUUCAGUGAGACCUGGGCAGGCUGCAGAGUUGGGCAGAAGGGAUCGUGAUGAGGUUUAACAAGGGCAAGUGCAGAGUCCUACACCUGAGGAGGAAUAAGCACUUGUAUCAGUACAGUUUGAGGCUGAUCUGCUGGAAAAGACAUGUGCUGAGAAGGUCCUGGGUGUACUGGUGGUCAACAGGUUGGCUGUGAGUCAGCAGUGUGCCCUUGUGGCCACAAAGGCCAAUGGUAUCCUGGGGCACAUUAAAAAGAGCACGGCCAGCAGGUCGAGGGAGGAGACCUCUGCAGACCUGAAGGGGCAGCUUUGCCUCAUCCCCACUGACCCAUCUAUCCUUCUUCUAGGAAAGCAAUUGUGAGGACUUUUGUGACAAAGAGGUGCUUUAAAGAAGUAAACUUUGGAAACACAGCUGAUUUUUAAUACUUCAGCCCCAGUCACUGGCAAUAGAAGGGAUUUGAUUGGGAUGAGUGCUAAGAGUCCUUCUGCUGUGCUCGGUCAGCUACCCCACCAGAAAUGAACGUGGGACAUGUUAUUUAAACUGAGAAGUUGAUAGUCUUGAAUACAUCUGUUUGUAUAAACUAGCUGGCUAUCCCCUUGCCAUCUCUAACGUAAAUCUACUAAGGUAUUGUGAAACUUCAUUUAUUUUAAGCUUGCAGUAUUUACCUGUGCAAAUCAUACAAGAAGCGUCCUUUCUAACUUCCAUGCCAUUUUUCUACUGAGUUAUUUGUUGGAAAGAUAUGUUCCUGUAUAAUUAAAUGUGGUUUUCUGAAACCUUUGCAGUUGGUAGCUUAAUAUAUAUUUUGUUGUACUUUGAGUACAAAGGAUGUAUUAUGCUUUUGUUGGCAUCCUUACUAGUCAGUGUGCCAACUGCAUAAUUUGGUUCUCUGCUAUAUGUCAGGAUUUGAGCGCCGAGGGCUCAACAGGUGGUGCUGGGAUAAAGUUCUGGCAAAUCAAAUAGGUAGCGCAGUUAUUUCUUUUGUCAAAUUAUAAUUGAAAACAGAGACAAGUAAAAUGAAGCUCAUGUUUUCCUGGUGCAAAACAGGGUUUAGAAUUCAAUUCAAAUCAGUUCACAUGACGAAUACACAUUACUACUGGAGCUUGGUCUGUAAAUAAACAUGCAGCACCUUAGUUUUGAUGUAGAAUGAUUCGUUCUUUGCAAAUUUAAACCUUAAGCGUCAGCAUUUAAACAAUAACAGAGGGCGUGAGUCCUCCAUGACUCUUCUGUCUUUGUCAUGCAUAUCUUGCAGAAAAUGUGCCAAAAUCUUCAGGAAAACUUUGAGAAGAUUUAAAUCUAAAAAGUCAGAGAAUUUGAGGCUGUCUGUGAUACAUAACUCAAAUGCUUAGCAUCAGGAGUUUCCUGCCAUAUUGUUUUCUAACCAUCGCUCUACCUGUGACCCCAGCAGAAAAUGGCAUAAAUACACUGGAAAUUCCAGUGAAUGUGCUGCAUGAGGUGCUGCUUGUUUUAUACUUGUCUUGGAUAAUGUUUAUUGAUCCUAAAACCAUACAAAUGGGUUAAAACCCAUUCUGCAACAAAAAUACAACAGAUCAUGGAGGCACAGUUUGGUUUUCCAAAAUUGCAUAUAAAAAGAUCUAUGCACUUGCAAGCCUUUUCCCUUUGUUAUUGUAGCUGAUGUUUUUACAGUGAGAUCUUGUUAUUUUCCUCUGAGGACCUCUCUCAAUAUAAUAUAUAUAAUCUUAUCUACAGCUCCUACAGACACUGUGGUUUAAGUUAGUUUUCUGUUUCUUCUCACUCAAAUGGAUUUGUUCUGAGCUGUAGCUUUCAGACUUCAAGUUCUGUCUCAACGUAUCUGAACCCAUCACGUACCAAAGCAGCUUCCAGCAGUGGCCUCCAGUUCCUCACACUGGUCGCAAACAUCUUUAUGACACUAUUAAGCUCUCAUGUUACUGAAGGUUUUGCCUUUAUACGUGACCAGGUGAUGCUUCCUCUUCUGCCACUUAAUAAGUAAGUCAUUCUGUAAGUGAUUGUUAACUAAUUAGUGUGAGAAAAGGUUAUCACAUUCAACUUCUAUUGAAUUCCUAACAGGCAACCAUUUCAGGUUACCACAGGUAUCUGCACGAGGUUGAGAUCCAAUUGCAAUCGGAGGGAUGGUUGUAGGGGAGAAAGUAAUUCCGGUGCUCUGGUCAUUUUGUUAUUUAUAUAUAUAUAUUUAAAAUAAACAUGUGGAAUAUUUAUCUUAAACCUCAGGUAACUGUUUAGAAAAGAAACAGCUGAGAAGCUGAUAAUGUACCCCUUUCACUGACAAAAGAUUUAUGCCUUGCCUGGCAGGACUUCCCAAUGGUCAAACAGAAGCAGCACGUAGCCCAGUGUUUAUCCAGGGGAACUGAGACCGCUGCUUCCACGCUUUUUCAUGUGAAAUUAAUUCAGCCACGUUGAAACUGGCCAAGAAUCAAAAACGUGAUAAAAUUCCUAUUAAAAGAGUGGGAGAGUGGCUCGGAAGCAGUUUGUGCAAAAAUAUGUAGGCACGAACAUUUCUGGUGACCUUCCCCAGGAGCCACCUGGCUGCUUGCAGGGCACCCCCUCUCCCUUUGGGGAGCAGGUGAAGAGUUCAGCUCAUCUUAGUUGUGAAAUGAGAAUCUGCAAUAAGAAACGAGCUCUUGGAAUUCAAAGAUGUAUUAUUUCAUGCCAUUCUAUUGCAGGAAAAAUGGCAGAAUCUUCUGUGGCACUCACAAAUGGGGUAACAACAAUUUUUUUUCAGAUUCUUAGUGGUGCUAAAAUCUGAACAGAAUCUGGCCUUUGCUCUUUCAUGUACAGCAUUUGAUUAAUUGUGAUUCCAAAAGGUUCAGGCACCCAAGUACGUGCUUAUGUGAGUGGGAGUACAACGUACCUACGCCUACCUACGUGUGCUUACCUACAGACAUUUUUAUUUUCAAUGUUCUGAUUCCAGCGGCCUUUUCAAGAGACAAAAGAAAGUUAAAAUUAGAGCCUAAAAACAAUGGAUUUGCAGCAGCCAGCACAAUGCCAGUCUGCACUGUUGUGAAAGACCUGUGCAUAAACAUUCAUAGGGAUGAAUUCAGAGGUGAUGGGCAACACAGACUGAGGAAAAGGAGCCCAGAGAGUAGGUAAUAAUAAAGAAAAUCAUGAAAAGAGGAAACAGAGGAGGAAAAGCAGCUAAGUGAAAGGUAUGUAACACCUAAUCUAAAGCACAUUUCUCUCUCCUUCAGCGCACACAAAACUUUUACCGGUUCCUUUUUAUGGUUAUUGAAUGCCCACAUUACCUGAAAGUGGAAUUUAUUGUGCUGAGUGUUAAACUCUAAGUUUUACAAAUAAGCUUCCGUACAAAAAUAUUUAUUAUCUGUAACGUACAUCAUCAGCUCUUACACUCCCACUGCGUUCAUCCAUUGUCUCCCAAUACAGUUACCGUGAACGUAUGUCAGAAUAUACGUCAGCCUCAGAAAUACACACUUGUACUGCAGUGACUAUUUUCUAUUCCUUAUUUCUUUGCCUCUAUUUUAAACAACGGAUGCGUACGUUUGCUUAGAACCUAGCUUCUGAAACAGAAGGACAGAAUUACUGGUUCUGACAGCUGUGAAAACAUUUCCAUAAUACAGAAAAUCUAAAUGCCUCUUCAUUCAAUCACUUUCUCAAUGAAAACAUCCCAGGAUUAAAGAAAUCCAGGGAAAGAGAAAAGAUUAACCUAGAAAAGGCAAAUAAGCAAGUGAAUAAAGCUGGGUUUAUUGCUUCCUGCUUCAACAGUGUCCAACAAGAUCUGGGCCAUGGUGCCACAGCUUUCACACGCGUGUGCAGUGGACACAGCUCCCCUGCAUGCAAACAAUGCACCAGCUUGCAUGAAGUGAAUUGGGGCCAGCACAAUUGUUUGAAGGAGGAGGGAUGCACAGUCCCUGGAAGCACAGAAGUGCCUUUUCUCUCUGGUUUCAUGCAGCUGACAUACCGAGCAGAGGAGCCAGAGAGAACAUGUAAUGGAAAUAAAUGACUUUGCAGACCCAACGGAAGGAGGUGGGAGCGAAAAAGCAUCCUCACCCCCUGCCCGGCGGCUGCGUAAAUCUGUCCCUGCCAGGAGAGCUCCGGGAGGUGCUCAGCGGCCGCCUCCCCAGGAGUCAGUGAGAGUUCAGGUGCUUACUGUGUCAUCAGGCUUGACCUUCACAUGCGACACUGCCAGGACGUUUGUUUUCCCACAGCAGUGAUUGCUUCAGUCAAUUAUUAUUGCCCAUCGUAGAGUGCAAACACAUAAGGGCUUGAUUUACAGUGCAAAAAUAUACAUCCUGAAUUUACUUCCUCUUUUGUUUUUGGACUGUCAUAGCAUCUCCACCUUAAAGAGAUGACAGCAAAUUACUUCAUAGGUAAAUAUAUGUAUGUAUAGGGAAGGAUAAAUAGCAGUCAUUCGGGUCAUUGUGAGAUGAACGUUCAGUAUAGCUUCAGAUCGGCUGUGUCAGACGUGACAAUAUAUUUUAAGCUUUUUGUUUUAAAAUUUUCAUUUUUUCUGCUUUUCUUUGAAGAAAUCAUCAUUCGCAAAUUUUGCAAGUUGGCAAUCUAACCUCUAAAUCCAUUCUAACGCAGAUUUAAGAUUGUGCAUUCAGUUCCUUAAGCAAUGUUUAGGUAUUACCAAUAUACUGAAAGAUAGAUGAGACAGCCUCAUGGUAAUACAGCUUUUAACCUUUCCUCUCCUCUACCAUGACGGGGGAGAAUUACAGUAAAUGAUGGUUACCUUGUCUGCAGUAUGGACAAUUGAUUUGACCUCACUGCAUCUGAUGCUCUAAUGGACUUUGUGGCUGAAUCCCUGGAGAUAUAAAAUAUGUCCAAGUGAAUUGGGGCAGGUUAAAGAACGGACCUGCUUUUCAUGGCUGGCUCAAGCUAUAAUAGAUCUCCCGGUUGUUCUGAGAAGAAGAUUAAAAAUGAUCAAUAUCCAAAUCAUUAAAAAAAAAAGCGGUGGCUUCUGUAAAUCUACCAUAGGUGGGUUUUUUUCCUGCUAAACGCCGGAGGAGGGUGUCUGGGUUGAUAACGUGAGUUUCCAUAACAAAUGUUUACUUCUGUUUACUCUCUAGUAACAUGUUCCUUUUUAUAUUAAGACUCAGACACACAGAUGGCGUGAUUCAGCACUGCUUUCCUGAAGUCAUGCUUGUUUACACCAUGAAGAGUCAGGCCUUAGGUUUAUUUAAUAUAGAUAAAAUAACAAUACUAUAAUAUUUCCUGAAGCAGAAAAUAAAAUCAAGGACAGAUUUCAGAGAAUGAUGGUAACUGUUAUAACUGUGAAUGUCCUCACAGUUCUGCUAGCCACAGUGUCUAAGACAAAAAUAAAGGUUUAAUUUAGUGAGGAAAAUAGAAAAAAAAGAUUUUCCUUGGCUGCUCUGAGUCCUUCAUUUGGCAAAGUGCAAUUGAACAUCUUGUUUAUCCUUUCCCACCCUCUCACGAACAUCUCUGCUCUUUUCUCACCAGCACACAACUGAGCUCAAGGUGAGUGUAAGUCUGUCCAGCCCCUGGAGGUGCCAGGAGAAAAGCUUUCACAGCCCACAGCUGGGAGCUCACCCACAGACCUUCCUCUCUACAUACAGCAGCAAUGGGGCAGGCAACUUCAGUGGGCUUAUACGUAUGCACAUGCUUAGCUUCCUGUAAAACCCAUGCAUUAAGGAGACAGAUGCACAGCUGUUCCAUUUGAGGCAUGCAUGUAUUGGUUUGUGCACUUAUUCAGUAAACUUGAAAUGCAGAGGAGCCCAAAUCUCUGUUCUGAACAGUUUGAGGUUGUUUGGAUCUGACAUCUCUGUGCGUUCACUGACAGAAAUAAGCUAAUUAUGAACCUGUGUUGGAAGAGGGAUGCCCUUUUUCUGAGUUUUGAGAAGUGUCUGGGCAGAGUAAUUGGACUGCCCUAUCUCAACUGCGUUACAGCAAUCGAGCAAAUGCGAAAAAUCUUCCUUAGAAAGGAAGAAAUAUGUGUUUUUAAGUGCUAGGACAAUUCCACGUAACAUCACGGUUUGCAUCUAUACCCACAGUACGCAGAGAUUCAUGCAGAUGUCCAACAAAUUGAAAAGGCUUCAAAUAUAUUUUAUCUAGUUGUAUGUCUAACAGUAUUUACCUUUUGCCUUUCACAGGUUGCUUUAAAAUCUGACUAUGUAAUAACAUCCUCUGAAUGAUUUAAUUUAAGCUAACGUGCUAUCCCUUUAUGUAAAAAGUAAAGGUAUUUUGAAAGCCCUUGCUGAAUACUCUGAGGUUGCCUCUACUGUGUGGCUAGCACUGGGCUGAAUGCCUAGCAUCCGUGCGUAGAAGAGGGAACAACUGCUGCCCCUCCGAUCUGGCUAUUCUUGUAUCUGGAAACAUUGUCAGGUGCUACAAGCAUCACGCCAUCUGAAAGGCCAAAGUUGAGUACUACGUUAUUGGAGUAGAUGACACCUUAUUCUUAUUCUUCAACAAUUCUAACAACUUAGAGUCCCUCACUGUCCCUUUAUGAACACAGAUGUCAUUCUGAGGGGGGGGACAGCCAAAAUGACAAGAAGGUGACCUGUCGGUGAACUCAGGAGCAGGUGAGGCCUGUCAGCUUCUAAUUUGAAACUGGUGUCAGUCCUGAGGAAUGGCUGGUAUAAUCACAUUUGUAACUGAUAUCCUAUAAACGCUGCAAACAUUCACAGUGCGCCUGUUAUGAGUAAUAUGAAAUUAACAAUUCGUGUUUAUGACACAAGACACCGACCGAAUCAAGCAGGUCUCCGUAACUGGAUCAGCUCCGUCUGUCUGCCAGAGCAGCGCAUCGAACUGCUUCAACCAAAGCCAAAUUACUGUGUGCUUAUGUUACAAUAGGCAUUGUAUUUAUUUUGAAGACAAACUUUUGUAACUAGGCGUAAAGUGAGGACCUCAGAACCAGCUUCUCGCUCAAGUUAUUGCAUAUAAAACUUCUCUUGCUCGAGCCCAGCCAUUAAGAUGUUCGUGACUUUUAAGAGUUUGGGACCUAACAAAUCACGUGUUGUAUCUCACAUUUUCUGAAUAACUGAAGGGAAGGCUCUGUGUAAAUCUUCUCUCUCAGACACAUAAAUUACCAGCUGCGUGAAUACUGCCAUUAAGACAAGCAGACAAGUGCGAGGGGUGGGGACAGGGCAGGAUGCCCCAAAGAGGUGGAGUUACAGAGAAAACAAGGCAUUUGCUUACUGAGUAAUUUAUGCUUCAUCUGCCUUCACUGUAGCUCAGUAAGAAUGAACACCAUGAGGCAGUCUGUCAGGCGCUCUCACUUCACUACCGCCAAGGCAUUUUUCUGCAAAUUAGGUAUUUGCUUCCUAUUUCUAGUCACUUCCACCUGGAUUUUUUAUUAGGAAAAGUCAAAAUCAUAGUAUCUGAAGCUAAGAUUUGAAUUGAAGUUACACUAAAAGAUAAACUGUUGCUCAAGUAUAUUUCACAUUUGAAGACAGCAAAAUCUCACAAUCCUUUGCACAAUUAUUUCCAGUCCAAACUGACAGAAGCUCUAAAGUUCGGGUCCUUUCCUGCCUGCACUGCUGCUGAGCCUGGUGCAUAGAUUAGAAGUUCCUUUCCAAUAACAAGCAAAAUAAAAGAAGAACCAUACGAAGAAUCUAUUGCAAUUGUUACACUGGAAUUUAGUUAGCAGAGCUACAAAAACGCAAGUCCAAAUCCCAAGUAGCUAGUGGAGAUUUCUGAACAGUUCUGUACACCUUCACGUAGACAAUCCAGUGGAGCUAACAACCUACUGUAGCACUCUUUUGUGAUAGGCAAAUACCAUUCAUUUCCAUUUUCCACAGAAGAACUGCACUCCACAGAGCUUCAGCAAUGUAAACAAGGCCAGGUACAGCAUUACAGCUGUGGUUCAGGCAACAACAUUCCUUGUCCUCUGACACAACACUUACACAUCAUACUUGUAACACUACCUAGUUCAAGUUGGUGGUCAAUACCACCUAAUUAGCAGAGUAAAAGUGCAAUUUUGAAACCAACUUACAAAACUGCUACAACCAACCUACAAAACUCCAUCAUACCAAAGAAAAAUUAUGGCUCUAAAUUUCACAAUCACUCUCUGCCAACCAAAAACUCACCUUUAAGAAGAGUCAGGGCUGAAAGCUGAAAGUUGAGGCAGUCAUCUCUCAACGUGUAGAACUCCUCACGUUGCUACGAAGGUACAGCACGGUUGUUCAGUGUUUGGAUAAAGUACUGCAUGGGAACUGUUGAAUCACAGCCUGAACCACCAAUUGAUCACCUGAGGCAAGGACUGAAUCAGCUGUGGGAGCACAGGUGAAAGCAAUUCAGCUAUGUGACCAGAAGCUGUGUGACCACAUUCCACCCCUCCCAGACCCCAUUUAAGGGCUGACUAACACUGGGGAAGAAUCUCCUUGUGGUGAUCCCUCCUUUGUGGAGCUUUUCAGUGUGAGCCUAAAUCUUUGCAUACAGGUGAGCAGUUCUUCUCUGUUUGUUCCUUUGCUAUCUCACUGCAGUACUCUUUCCAACUGUGCUUUGUAGACUAUACAACUACUUUGGUGGCUACUCAGAACUGAUAACAUAUGUUUUAAUUUUCCUCCUACUUGCACAGGUAUAAUUAUAUUAAUUCCCCACAUAGUUUAUGAGAAGAGCCUGCCCUGUGGAACAAGACCCAGCACAGCAGCAGGUUCCUGCAGCACCAGGUCAGCUCCAGAGGCUGAUAUCAGCAGCACCACCUCACAUAGCUCCUAGAGCUGGUAGGGUGCAGUGCCUCAGCUGGAUUGCUGCUGUAGCUUACCUGCAGGAGCCUUCUGCAUCACUGGUCAUAUAAAAUGCUCCUCUGCCAACAGAUGGAUUGCUUAUCGUUUUGAUUACUGGCUGUAAAUGUUCGUUAUUUUUUCAUUUCCUAGCUAAGCAAGCUUAUGUGUGUAUACAUUUUCUACAGUUUUCAUUAGAGUAACACUAAGACCUGGCAUAAGGCCAGGAGAGAGAAACUUAGAAUUAUUGAUUAAAAAAUACUCUUAGUUUCUUCCAGACCUUCAUUGUGACCCUCAUACUCCUGACGUUAAGGAGCAGCUGGCACCCCUCAGCUCAGCCCAUUACCUGUAGGGCUCCCCUGAGCAUUCUGCACCCACCUGGCAGUGCUGUAGAAAGGAGGCUGUAGUGGGUGAUGCUGAGCUUCUGCUCCCAGUGCUGGGCCCAUGUGAGGCUGCUAGAAAACCAAAAGAAAACAUGGAGGGGGGGGGGGGGGAAAGCCCACAAAAAAAAACCACCAUGAUCUGUUCUCAAAGGUGGAAAGUGGAAGAAUAAGACAAAAGCCUCUGUGGUCAGAGUAGACAUCUCUUAAGAUCUUGAGAAAAUUCCCCAUACAUAGAAAGAAGCAGCAGAGCACAUCUGUUUUCAUGACAUAGUUUGGUAAUAUCUUGAGCACUGCACUUCCUCUUGACCUCACAGCACCGCUUUCUGUUCAUACAAUUAAUACGGGGAAGCCACCAUUCCCACCAACUUUCAUUUUGAAGAUAAACAAAAUCACUCCUUUCAGGGUAAUCUUGAAGAAAUGAACUGCAGCAAAUCUACAACCAGGCAUACCCAGUGAAGAGAUGUUGGAGGGAAAAUGGGGAUAUAAAUGUAUGGCCCAAUUCUAAUUUUAUUCAUUUCUAGUACAUUGGGGUAGGCAGAAUUGGAGUAGGAAAAAAAGGAAGUUUGACUUCUGGGGUUGUCUUUCUAUAUCAUGCUGAAUGGAGAGCAACACAGCACAUAAGCUCACUGGGUGGGAGAUGGGACUUGAACAUGAGGUAUUUCUCUAAGCAGCUUGAAUCAAGGGCUUAAGCACGAGCAGCCUGUAUCUCAUCCAGCUCCUGUAACUGCUAUCUUGUGGGGAUUUUAUCCCAGACUUCAUGAAUAUUUAGCGAGGCUUCCAAAAUAAAUUGGCACUCUCAGUAUACACUGAGACCAUGAACCAAUGAUUGGGAAACUAGUCUGGUUCAAAUCCUUGCUCUGCUCCGUUCCCUCGCAGGUGUAGUGACAAGUUCAUAAAUAACAGCUCUUUGCUGACUGUAGGGCUCCCAUACACGAGUGCCCUAAUCAGUGAAGAAUUUUUUUUCCCCUCUAUACAGCAGUUCCAUCUGCUUCAGAAAGUUUCCCCUCAAAACCAAUGCAUUUACAAAGUAAGUGCUAGUUUUGGUGACUCAGUGCUUUCUUUAAAAAGAAUACCACAGUAUUUCAGUCAAAAACCAUAAUCAACAUGAACUGAAAUGACACAGGUUUCUAAGCCCUUGGCUGCAUGGCAGCCUGCGUGCAGCCCCGGGGCAAGUUCCAGCACUGCAGCAGCGACCAAUGAAAAAUCCUUGAAGCAGAAAGGCAGCAUUAAAGCCAUCCAUUAAGCAGUGUUUACGUUUACUGUGAGGUGAAUUACAAAAACUCCCUGGCAGUUUUUGAAAUCUGAGGGCCUAGGAAAGCCAUCUGGGAAUGGUACCUCAGACACAUACUGUUAUCGUAGUAGCAAAAUUGAUGGCUGCAUCUUACCUGCUGGAGCUCUUCUUCUUCUGCUUCCCCAGGAAUCAGCACAGCAAAGGCAGUGGGAUGCCCACAGCCUUUCCUGUUUCUUCUCAUUGGUGUAGGCCUGCAGAAGGACAAUAUAGAUUUAGUCAAAGGAGACAGCAUGGAAGCAGACCUGGAUGCAUGUGACAGAACUGGAGGCAUCCCAGCGUAAUUAAUGAGCAGUGGAGCAAGUUGUUAUUUAUGUUGCCUGUUUCUAAUGAAUGGGAAUUAGUCAUGUCUUUGAUUCUUAGGUGGCUAUUUAUGCUGCUUAUCUGAUAUCUGAAAGGAAACUGUUCUGAAUAUUUUCUAGUCCAAGGAGGACUGGGUGGCUAAAACAAGACCUAACUUGUGCUUUUGGCAAAACAUUAGGAAACUAGUUUCCAAUUUUGGAAGUGUCUGCAUGUAGUUUUCCAUAGGUUUUUUUUCUUUCUUUGAGUUUUCCUGACUUCAGUCAGGAGGUGAAAUGCCAGAAAUACCCAGAGACAACAUAUCCAACAAGACCGCUCCCCCACAGGCACUGCAGCCCACCGGGUGUUUUUCCAAACCACCCCUGAACUCUGAACCUCCAAAUCAUUCACAGAUCUCUUCCACUGGGAGAUGAAACCACAUCGCUGCACGACUGCAGGAAGGAGCAUGGUGGGGAGCCGUGAGGAAAGCUGUGCUUUCCAUUGCCUUCCUGAGCUGGGAUGAGUGGUGGCCGCGCUCGCUGCAUCAGCCUCUGCUCGGGCUGGGCGCUGUGAGGGAUAAGCACGAGCUGGGCAGCAUUAGUCCUGUGGUCACCCAGAGCGUGAGCACUGCCCUGUUUCUGCUCCAGCUGAAGCCUGAAUGGAGCUUAGCUGGGAGAGGCCUCCAUUUCCCAUUACACAAUGGUAUUUUCUGUUAGACACUAAAGCCCUCUGUCCCUGAUGAUAAGCUGGUUUUUAUUAUAAAAUAUAACAGUUGUAUUUUACACAGCUCUUCUGUACAAUGCAAUUUACGGAGCUAUUCUGCUGGCUCUGUCAUUGACAGGGUGCCCUUUACAGCAGGACUUGUAGCACACCAAAAUUUUCAUGAUCCUAAGCUAGCGGGAAAAGAAAUAUUUCCAUGGGUGAAAAUUCCGGUUAGGUAACUAUUAUUGAAGUGUGUACGAGAUUGCAUGUCAAAACAUUUUUAUUGUUGGCUGGUUGGAAUCACAUUGACUGACAGCAGCAGUUUAACAACUGAAGCACAGCGCAGUUUGUUAUUGUACCUGUUUCUCCAUGGAACAGCUCUGUAUUUUAGCAGCUGCUAUCAUUUCUAAGUUACGAAGCCUGCCUUUAGAAAUGUGUGUUCCCUCUCUCCCACUUACAGUACCCUUACUGAGCUGGCACAAGACAAGCGAGUAAUAAAAGGAAUGUAAAGUGUUUUAAUUUUGUCUUGUUAUAUGGCAUUACAUUGCCAUGGCCUCUUGAUAACAUAACAAAUGUAUACAGGAAAUACAGCUCAAGUGAGCAUGGAAACAGUGGGAGGAGAAGGGGUGUUAGGUUUGGUUGCUUGGUGGGGGCUGUUUGUGCUGGCUUUUCUUGGGGGAGCGGGGGGUGGAGGGUGGUUAAGACAGAACCCAAUUGUGUUCCUCUAAUUACAGAGUUAAUGGAGACGCUCCAAACAGAGGAUUAAGUGGAAAGCAGAGUUUUGCAGCAACCUGAGAUAUUAAAAGGAAAACCAACUGACAGAGCAGAAAAAAAGACAGCCAACUUACGGCAACGCGGCAGUAUUUUCCACCAAAAAGUCGCCGUUAAAUCCCCCACAAUUACUCACAGCUAUCGGGGUGCGCAGUGGCCGUGACACCCGUCUGAGCUGCACAUCACAGACACUGUAACUGCUGGGCUCACCUGAAUGUGUUCCCACGUGCCGUGCACUGCUGGCGCUCUCACGGCUCCACACAAUGCCUGCAUUUCACCCGACGUCGCGCUUCAACACCGUGGCAUGGCUGCAUUAGCUGCUGCUGGAGGACAAAUAAGGAAAGGAAACGGGAAAGGAGGCGGAGUCCAUCCCUGGCUUCCUCAUACUUUCAUUUGAAUGGGAUUUGGAUUCUGCCUGUCAUUGUGAAGUAGACUGGAAAAGAGUACUGUCAACACAGAUGAAGACUCAGUGUGAAUAAAAUUAAAAUAAUUAAGUUCUGUUCAACAUCAGUUUGGCCCUGCUUGAGUUGCCAGGACUCCGUACACAAUUUGGGAUGGGGGUUGGGUUUUUUUUUCGUUGACUGUGGUUUCCUUGGUUGGAAUGCUAUGUCUAAGACCACCAUCCAGGAGAAUGAAGGUCUUCCACCCAAGGGCAACAUCUGUUAUCUACACAUUUGGAUAUUGUGUCCAAAACAGGAGAUAUCAGCUUUGGAGGAACGCGAUUUCAGAGUAUGAAGCAGUUCCAAAGACCACUUGGACUUGAUCUCCAAAUGCCUGAGAUAGAUACAAGCCUUGAAAGUGACCCUCGACACCCUGGGAUCUUCUGUGUAAAAGGCUGAAGCACCCAGGGGGUGUAUCCUUGACUGUGCUGCUGAGUCAAUUAAUUACAGUGCUCGAAAUAAAAUGAAGCUUUGGUUAAGGUAGGAAAAGAGAAAAUAGUACUAAGGUUAACAGUUUGUGAACGUAUAUGUUAAAUAUAUGCAUGUCCCUAUACAGCAGGAAAAGAAAAGGAGUUGGAGGAGAGCAAUUCUAUAUCCUAGUGCCUGUUAUCUGGGCAGAGCAAGGAACUGAGGAGACAUACCCAGGAGCAGCCCACGGCUCUGCAGCGUUGCUCACGCUGAUACCCUACUGCAGCCCAGCAGGGUGCCAAGGAGCUGCUGUGGGAACUGGCUGGAGCAACAACAGAGCCCAGCCAGCUCCCUCCCAUUGACAGCAAGCUCAGCAAAGCAUUGAAGCUGGCUGAACUUACACCUUGGGGUGGUUCAGUGUCACCUGCUCAGAAACAAGGAGCAGCUUUGCUAGACCGUCCCAGCAGCACAGAAGUGCCAUCUGGACCUGGGAGAAGUGUGAAUCUUGUCUCAACUACAGAUGAUCCUAGCACUGUGCAAGCAAACACCCUUAAGGAAAGAGUGCAAUAUGAAUUUGGGUGUAACCAAGCUAUGGUGAGGUCCCCUCCAAAGGAGCAAGAUUAAAUAUGGCUGUAUGAGCCAGCACUAAUCUACUGAGAAGUGGGCAUGCUGGACCAUAGGCAGCCAGCAGUUCGCAGCACAUUGGGGUGCUCCCAUGGCCUGCAGAGAAGAGGGCUACAUGAGACAAGUGUCCCCCUCCAGAGCUUCAAAUGGACCUGAAGCUCCAUGCUUCUCCCCGUGGGAACAAGCUCAAUUUUGUGCUUUGGUCUAAAGAGAGAUCAAGAAGCACUACCAGAACCAGAGCCAGAAAGGAAUGGGUAAUGGGGAAAUGAUGUACUUGAAACUCAUUACAGAUCUUCAUAGAAACUCUGCUGAAUGUGCCUUGGGCUUUGUGCUGAUCAGCACACACUGAGCUUACUGCAUAAUUCAUC
ensembl:lncRNA